rnacentral:lncRNA from 1 species
GGCCUCCAGAGGAAUUUCUAUACCGCUUCAUGUUCCUCUUCAACUGUCUUGUUCCUUCAUCAAGCAACAUGUUGUUUGACACCACUUCCUGAAAGUUGAACAAUAUUAAUUCUCUAGAAGCUCCUUGGGUUGUUUAGCUGCUUGACUGAACAAAUCAAUAGAAUUGGGGCUACAUUUACAACACUUUCAGGCCAAAGAGUUAAUUAUCACGUAAGUUACUUAAUGGCCAUCCGAACAUAUUCCAGGUUGUAUGAGGGGUCACAACACAAGACACUUUUGUACAACACGGUGACAUACAAAAACAACAACUGAUUGGCUUAUCUGUAUAAUUAGAAGAAUAGAAGCUUUUCAAGAGAUCAUCUCUUCAGAGUAAUUAAGAAUAAAGAUAAAGCAUUAAACAGUUCCCUUAAUUAUCACAAUGUGAUUCUACCUUUUCAAAAUAUUUGUACGCAACUUUGUUUUAACCACUCUUUAAUUCUCCUGAGUUUUAAUGAUGUAAACUACUUCAGGUGGUAAUCCUGCCAAAAAUGUUAGAUCAAUGUUGCAAAGAGAGCCUUGUGCCACACUCACCUAUGAGUAAUGAUUAGAUAAUGUAAGGUAAGGAUCCCAUAAUUCCCCCAAAAAAUAUAUCAAAAUAAUCCAACAAUCUACAAAUGAUUAUGAUAUACUCGUGGAAGAACUUAGAGAUGUUCCCAUAAGAAGCAAGAUCCCACCUUCUGCCAUUGGAUUUUGGAUAAUAGAAUGACAUGUAUUUAUUGAGUCUUCACUGCUGGUACAAGCAAGAAGCACGGGGAGUGGGCAUGGCCGAGCCGCAAAUAGGUUGCAGCCUGCCAGGGGUGGCGUAGGAACAUGCUGAUAACCACAAAUAGCAGUAGCAACAAAUCAGCUCAACUCACCUCACUCUGUAACAGAAAAAUCACACCUACAAUGGAAGCAACAUAAGUACGUUACCAUCAGUCCAACACCAAACCAAUGCGCAUUUAGAUAUGCGGACCAGCUAUUUUGAUGUGUUCACUGGAACAAUGUACAUUUUCGGGUAUAAAGUAAUGGUUGAAAAUAAUGCAGAAUAAUAUUCUGUAGCUUAAUAUACAAAGGACAAUGAAAAGAUCAUUAUGACAGACAUGGGAAAGGUUUCAGAUAGGUUCUAUAUUGGUGCUCAGAAAGCCACUAUCU